AAGAGUCUGACGAUGGGAUGCCGGUUGGCACUAGCUUUGGCCUCCAUUAUCCUCUCGUUUUGCACCUUAUAGCCUAGAAUGUCGCCUAUACCAUGAAAAAGAAGGACUUAAUGUCGGUCAUGUCUGAUAUGGUCAAUAUCCCAGGAUGGAAUACACGUAGGGCCAUAGAGCCCGUAUAGGAGAUUCUGAAAAUCAUUGGGCGUAAUGCUCCUGCCAUCAAUAAAGCCUUAACUACCAAACGGAACAGUUCUUACAGCAGACAGAUCGACAGGGCGGUCGGUGGGCAAUGGUGUUGGAUAUUCGGUAUGGCAACUGGGCACGCGUAUUAUUAUUUUAUGCUCCCGGACCUUACAAGCAGAGUGCUGAGAGUAGAAUUUUUUCGCGUCUAUAUUUUGUAUAAUAGAAAUAUUCUUUGAAAAAACAUUAAUA